rnacentral:rRNA from 1 species
AUGAACGCUGGCGGCGUGCCUAAUACAUGCAAGUCGAGCGAACAGAUCAGGAGCUUGCUCCUUUGACGUUAGCGGCGGACGGGUGAGUAACACGUGGGUAACCUACCUAUAAGACUGGGAUAACUUCGGGAAACCGGAGCUAAUACCGGAUAACAUUUGGAACCGCAUGGUUCUAAAGUGAAAGAUGGUUUUGCUAUCACUUAUAGAUGGACCCGCGCCGUAUUAGCUAGUUGGUAAGGUAACGGCUUACCAAGGCAACGAUACGUAGCCGACCUGAGAGGGUGAUCGGCCACACUGGAACUGAGACACGGUCCAGACUCCUACGGGAGGCAGCAGUAGGGAAUCUUCCGCAAUGGGCGAAAGCCUGACGGAGCAACGCCGCGUGAGUGAUGAAGGGUUUCGGCUCGUAAAACUCUGUUAUUAGGGAAGAACAAACGUGUAAGUAACUGUGCACGUCUUGACGGUACCUAAUCAGAAAGCCACGGCUAACUACGUG